CUUUAAGUUAACUUCCAAUAUUCCACAGUGAUUCUUUGAUGGCCCAUUACUACUCAUGUAGCUUACCUUCUCUGAGCUACUUUGGAGACUUUGGUUGAGGGGUUUAUCCGGAUCCACAUUAUGACCUUGGCUGCCCUUCAAGUUUAGGUUAGAUUUCACUUGGGUGCACUUUAGGUUAGACUUAGUUAGGACCACCUAGUCUCUCCUUAGGCCCAUCUAGGUUCACUUAAGCCCUCAUAGGCACACUUGGCCUAUGAGACUUUUUUUUAACGUUUCUUGCAUGACUCACAUAGUCGCAUGACUUGCAUGGCCCGCAUAUGAUUGACCA
rnacentral:lncRNA from 1 species